GAGAGACCAACAGAUACAACAGAGCACACACACAGAUAUAUACUUCUAUAACACACACACCUAUGCUUCCUCUAUUUUAAAAGCCACUGAUGUACACACACCCACAUGCACACACACACAAACUUACUUCAAAAUUCAAAGCAAUCCUAGUAAAGCAAGCGCGAAACUUUGAGACGUUUUCAACAUGGAAACAUUUUCUAUUCCAUGCACAGCCAUGAACUGCCAGGCUCAAUCAAUAGAGCACAGCGAAAGCAGUCUUGUAAAAGGACUCUCUUAUACAUGUGAGUCUUUCAUCAGUGUCUAAAUCAAUAUGAGGAACAAACACUUCAGCAGAACUUGACAGAUCAAAACAUAUCGAGUACAUUUUAGAUGUACAGAAGAGAACUGCUGUGUAUAUCAGGAAGAAAAAAAAAAAACACAACUGCACAGCAAAAAGGAGAAAAGCAGAGAUGAAAGUAAUAUCUCAUAUCUCAUCAGCGGUGUAAUGUAACAAAGUAAUAAUACUUCGUUUCCACACUUAAGUAUUUUUUUGGGGGGAGAAUCUAUACUUUACUUGGGUUUUGAUACUUCUGUCAACUUUCACUUUUACUCCAAUACAUUUCCCCGAAGCAUAUUCAUUACUACAAGAUAAAAAUCGUCAGAACACAGACUGCAAGCAAGCCGGUUUGACGAAUCGGUGGUCUGGUGUUUGCAUGAAUUAAAUCUCUUUGCGCAUGUGCAAACAAGUGCUCACAUAACCACCAUUCAUGUCAUUUUCCACUCAAGCCAAGCCAAAGAUUUUCUUAAAGCUGCUCUGCCCAGGUGUGUCAUGCUAGCAAGUUACUCAGUUCCACCGAUUUCAUGAUGGAAGCAGAAAUAACAGCGGCACCUUCGACUCCCACGACAAACGACGGUUGGGACGAAGGUGAACACCCGUGGCCAUAUUUUGAACACGAGUAAUGUUUUUUAUGUUGGAAUGAAAGAGUCUUCGUACUGGAUGAAGUGCCUCUUAUGCUUACCCAAAGACACAGAAAUAUUGGAAUUUAAAAACUCGCCGUCCAACCUCAAGAAACACAUUGAGAGAAAGCAUAUACACCACCUUAAACAAUAUGGAGAGCUGACAUCAACGAAGAGAAAAAGGACUCCUGAGAGGCCAUCCACCAGUAAACAGACCACAUUAGUGAACAACUGGAUUGUCUCAUUGACAAGGCUGUUGUGAAGUAUGUGGUCGAAGGGCUCCAGCCUUGAACGAGAGAUUUUGUGAAGGAACUGCAACCUAAUGCAAAAAUAAUGUCACGGUUGACCCUGCGCUCUACGAUUGAUGAUGCCUCAACGGAAUGAAGAAGGCAGUGACCGAGGCCAUGAGAGUGGUUGACCAUAUCGCUACCACCACUGACUGCUGGUCUGUCAGAAGGAGGCGCUUCAUAGGUGUUACUGUACAUUGGAUUGACCCCGACAGUCUCACCAGAUACUCAGCAGCCCUAGCACACAGUUGAAAGGUUCGCACACAUUCGAUGUGUUGGCAAACACCCUGAAUGAUAUCGAUUCCGAGUUUGAAAUUCGUUGUCAGAUUCUGAGAACAGAUAAUGGUUCUAAUUUCAGAAAAGCUUUCCAGGUUUUUGGAGAAGAUGAGAAGAACAAUGCAGUCGAAAGUGAUGGUGAUGCAUCUCAAAAGGGAGAGGAUGAAGCGUGGGUGAAGAGGUGGAGUUUGUUGAUGUGUCAGCACUUCUGAAUGAAGAUGAUGGCUUUGAGUUUCGUCUCCCUUGUCACCUACUCAACCUAAUAGCUAUGGUUGAAGCUAUGAAAGCAACAUCCAAUGAGGUAUACAAGAAAGUGUACCAUUCAACAUUUGGAAAAUGUAAUGCACUUUGGAACAAAUGUGGAAGAUCCACACUUGCAGCCAAAAAUGUUGAAGAUGUUUGCUCCAUCCAAAUGCAACCAGGUGGAACUCCUUGUUCAUGGCAGUGGAAAGACUGCUGAGGAUCAUCAAAGAUAAGGGUGAGGGGGCCAUCACAGUCAUCUGCACAGAUGUAAAGCUUCCACUGUUUAAUCCAGCUGAACUUGAAUUCCUCACUGAAUAUACUGCUGCUAUGAGCCCAGUCACCAAGGAAACCAACAUCUCGCAAGCAGAAGCAAAUGCCCAGAAUUCCAACAAUCAACCUACUGAGCAUCAAGCUUGACCGAGCCUCCAGGCCUCUGGUGGAUGCUUUACUGGUGGGAAAAAAGAAUCGCUUUGGCCACAUGUUUGAAGACCCUGAGCCGUGAUUCUUCUACCAAAAUUUAAAACAACUUAGGCAAAGGAUGACGCUACAAUCAGAAUUGGCAAAACAACAUGGGGAUCGUGGAAAAAUAAGUGUACAGGGGCACAUUUUGACACUCUAUAAAAAAUUAUCACUGCACACUAUUUUUUUUUAAACCUCAAAUAAUAAAAAAAAUCAUGACAUAUUGGAAUGUUGUAUUAAUCCUAUAAUUUAUAUUUUCAUGCUCACUAUUUCAGGAAUGGAUUACAUCAAGCAGCACAUGGACGGAUCCUCCCUGCAGCCAGCUGAUGCUAGGUCCAGUUCAUCUGAUAAAGAUGACUUCUUUCUCAUCCUGCUGCCAUCUCAAGCACAAGACAGCUCCAAACAACCGGACGGAUACUUGGCCUGUUCAGCAGAUCACACGGACUUGUUGAAAUCCUUCAAAGCUGUGUGCAAGCUGUCUGUGAAGCUGAACACACCUUUACCUGCCUCUGCAGCCUGUGAAAUGCUAUUUAACAUUGCAUGACUAGUCUUCGGCCCAAGAAGAGCAAGACUGAAUUCUCGCAAUUUUGAAAACCGACUUCUGUUGAAGAUGAACAGGAAAUAUUUCAGUUUCAAGUACUGACUGGGUUUUACUGUAGGGAAGGAUAUGAGGAAGGACGGAGAGAGGGACAGAUGAAAGAAGGAAUGGGAGGGAAGGAAAAACAGGAUUUUGUUCUUUAAAUUCUUUACGUUGUAAAGACAUGUUUUCUGAAUCGACAUUUGAUUUGUGUUGACAUGUUAGAGCAAACGAUCAGUCUCGCAGUUAUACAAGCAUCCACAUGGUGCAGAUUCAGCAGCCAAAGAUAUUCAAUGAUAAUCACUGUGUUUGCUUUCCAUUUAAACAGAGAAUUUUGGAGCACAACUGUUUACAAGUCAUUUAAAUUGUAAUUGUGAAGAAACAUCUUUACAUGAACAGUUUUGCUUGGAGUCCCCCCACAUUCAAAUUAAACAGUUCAUUUUUUCAAAUUCGAAACGGCUUUAUUUAUUUAUUUAUUUUUUUUACUUAAAACCAAAAAAAAAAAAAACUUAAACAUUUUGGACUUUUUUUUUAAUUCAAAGGAAACAAAAUGGAAGAAACAGAGCUAAUACGGAACAAUCCUGCUGCUCAAACUGUGUAUAAAAUCAAUUUUAAAUAAUAUUUAGUUAAUACUGAGUUAAUACCGUCAAUCUUGCUGCUCAAAAUGUAUAUAAAAUCUAUUUUAAAUAAUAUUUAUUUGCUCCUUGUGUGAGCCUCAGCCUGAGGACCUUG